rnacentral:rRNA from 1 species
UACGGAGGGUGCAAGCGUUAAUCGAAUUACUGGGCGUAAAGCGUGCGCAGGCGGUUUGUUAAGUCCGCUGUGAAAGCCCCGAGCUCAACUUGGGAAUUGCAGUGGAUACUGGCAGGCUGGAGUACGGUAGAGGAAGGUGGAAUUCCCGGUGUAGCAGUGAAAUGCGUAGAUAUCGGGAGGAACACCAGUGGCGAAGGCGGCCUUCUGGACCAGUACUGACGCUCAUGCACGAAAGCGUGGGGAGCAAACAGG